UACAGAGGUCUCAAGCGUUGUUCGGAUUCAUUGGGCGUAAAGGGUGCGUAGGCGGCGUGGUAAGUCGGGUGUGAAAAUCUCGGAGCUUAACUCCGAAACUGCAUUCGAUACUGCCGUGCUUGAGGACUGGAGAGGAGACUGGAAUUUACGGUGUAGCGGUGAAAUGCGUAGAUAUCGUAAGGAAGACCAGUGGCGAAGGCGGGUCUCUGGACAGUUCCUGACGCUGAGGCACGAAGGCCAGGGGGAGCAAAACGGG
rnacentral:rRNA from 1 species